rnacentral:rRNA from 1 species
UGGGGAAUAUUGCACAAUGGGCGAAAGCCUGAUGCAGCGACGCCGCGUGCGGGAUGAAGGCCUUCGGGUUGUAAACCGCUUUUGAUUGGGAGCAAGCGAGAGUGAGUGUACCUUUCGAAUAAGCACCGGCUAACUACGUGCCAGCAGCCGCGGUAAUACGUAGGGUGCAAGCGUUAUCCGGAAUUAUUGGGCGUAAAGAGCUCGUAGGCGGUUUGUCGCGUCUGGUGUGAAAGUCCAUCGCUUAACGGUGGAUCUGCGCCGGGUACGGGCAGGCUAGAGUGCGACAGGGGAGACUGGAAUUCCCGGUGUAACGGUGGAAUGUGUAGAUAUCGGGAAGAACACCAAUGGCGAAGGCAGGUCUCUGGGUCGUCACUGACGCUGAGGAGCGAAAGCGUGGGGAGCGAACAGGAUUAGAUACCCUGGUAGUCCACGCCGUAAACGGUGGAUGCUGGAUGUGGGGCCCAUUCC